AGCGUCGUAGCUCAGUCGGAAGAGCGCUGGGCCCAUAAAUUUUCUUCGGUCACCCAGAGGUCCCUGGAUCGAGACCAGGCGACGCUA